UUCCUGGAGAUUGCUCCUUGUGGGGAUUUUGAAGCCUCUAACACUGUGUUGUGUCAGCAACUGGCUAUCUUCUUCAGAGGCACAAUGAAUUUUGCAUAAUGUUAAUGAGAGGAAGUUUCAUAGUUCUGUCAUGGAAGUACAAGGUACUACAAUCACCCCCUUGCUUUGUAUGGGCAGAAUCAGACCAGAUGAGGGACAAAAUAAGUGAAAAGAAGACUUCUUCCAGUUUCAAACUCUACAAACAACAGAGGAUCUAUCGCUGAGUCACAGAAGUGUGAGGGAGCAAGGAGACAUCCUUCAUGAAUGGAAUGAAGCUCUGUAACUAAUUUUGAAUACUACCUGGAUUUCCUCUAAUUUGAGGACUUGGCACAAGAUAAUUGAUUUGUUUUCUAAAUUUUGGAAAAAAAAAAUCAGGAAAGAAGACCUGUGAAAAUGCAUGGUGAGAUGUUGAAUAGAUGUGUUAUCACUUACGGUUCCUAGUGUGCCAAAAAUCCCCUAAUAAAACCCAAAUGCAAACGUGGUGCUAAGCAGGAAAAAAAAGUAGGUAGAUAAGCAGGGUUAAGAGGCAAAGGAAGAAGCAAAUAUUACCAUGUUAUGGAGGCUACUCUUGUCUAUUCAUCCUUGUGCUAUACAUAUAUUUGUAUGGUAAAAACAAAACACAAAGAAAGCCUCUUCAAAUAUAUAUAUUAUGAGGAAUAAGAACCCUAUAUAUACUUGAGAGACAUGAAAUUGUUUGCCUUUAAAUUAUCCAGAUGCCUUUAAAAACCUCUCUUGUCCUUAAUAUUCCUUUCUCAAGCUUCUCUUUAAUUCACCCAGUUCCAACUCCUUGCCUUUUAAGAAAUGGAAGUGGAUGGCACUUCUGCUGUAUCUGUCUGAAAAGAAAACUAUGCGGGAAGCAGAAUCAAAGUAUGCCAUUCAGUUUACCUAUGAAUACCUAUGCCAGAGCGGGGGUUAAUGUAAGUGUAGAAUGUUAUACAACAUGAAAUGCAGAGUGCACUGCACAAUCAUGGUAUAGCAGGUAGCUAUGAGUAAAGCAGAU
ensembl:lncRNA